rnacentral:rRNA from 1 species
UGGGGAAUUUUCCGCAAUGGGCGAAAGCCUGACGGAGCAAUACCGCGUGAGGGAGGAAGGCUUUUGGGUUGUAAACCUCUUUUCUCAAGGAAGAAUACUGACGGUACUUGAGGAAUAAGCAUCGGCUAACUCCGUGCCAGCAGCCGCGGUAAUACGGAGGAUGCAAGCGUUAUCCGGAAUGAUUGGGCGUAAAGCGUCCGCAGGUGGUUAUGCAAGUCUGCUGUUAAAGAGUGGAGCUUAACUCCAUAAGGGCAGUGGAAACUGCGUGACUAGAGUACGUUCGGGGCAGAGGGAAUUCCUGGUGUAGCGGUGAAAUGCGUAGAGAUCCGGAGGAACGCCUGUGGCGCAAGCGGCCGCCUGGGCCUGACCUGACGCUGAGGCGCGAAAGCGUGGGGAGCGAACCGGAUUAGAUACCCCCGUAGUCC